rnacentral:rRNA from 1 species
AUUGAACGCUGGCGGCAGGCCUAACACAUGCAAGUCGAGCGGAGCGGCGGACGGGUGAGUACUGCCUAGGAAUCUGCCCGGUAGUGGGGUAUAACGUCCGGAAACGGGCGCCAUUACCGCAUACUAUCAGAUGAGCCUAGGUCGGAGUAGAUAGGUGGUGGGGUAAAGGCCUACCAAGGCGACGAUCCGUAACUGGUCUGAGGGGAUGAUCAGUCACACUGGAACUGAGACACGGUCCAGACUCCUACGGGAGGCAGCAGUGGGGAAUAUUGGACAAUGGGCGAAAGCCUGAUCCAGCCAUGCCGCGUGUGUGAAGAAGGUCUUCGGAUUGUAAAGCACUGUAAGUUGGGAGGCGUUACCAACAGAAUAAGCACUGGCUAACUUCGUGCCAGCCGCCGCGGUAAUUC